AACUCUGUUCUCAGCUAUGCACUUUUAAAA
rnacentral:piRNA from 1 species